GACGAACGCUGGCGGCGUGCUUAACACAUGCAAGUCGAACGGAAAGGCCCUGCUUUUGUGGGGUGCUCGAGUGGCGAACGGGUGAGUAACACGUGAGUAACCUGCCCUUGACUUUGGGAUAACUUCAGGAAACUGGGGCUAAUACCGGAUAGGAGCUCCUGCUGCAUGGUGGGGGUUGGAAAGUUUCGGCGGUUGGGGAUGGCCUCGCGGCUUAUGAGCUUGUUGGUGGGGUAGUUGCUUACCAAGGCUUUGACGGGUAGCCGGCCUGAGAGGGUGACCGGCCACAAUGGGACUGAGAUAGGGCCCAGACUCGUAUGGGAGGCAAUAGAGGAGAGUCUUGCAGAAUGGGGCGAAGCCUGAGGCAGAAACGCCCGGUGCGGGAUGACGGGCUGCUGGUGGAAAACCGCUUCCGCAGGAGACGAAGCGUGAGUGACGGUAAUUAGUAAAGAAGCAACGGCUAACUACGUG
rnacentral:rRNA from 1 species